rnacentral:sRNA from 1 species
AAAAUCGCAGCAAAGUGUAAA